rnacentral:RNase_P_RNA from 1 species
CCAGAUGGUCGGACGGCCGCGGUUCGGGCGCAGCCCGAAUCGAGGAAAGUCCGGGCUCCACGGAAAAGCGGUGCCGGCUAACGGCCGGCGGGGGUCAAACCCCAGGGAAAGUGCCACAGAAAACAGACCGCCCGGCCGGACCGGCACCCCCGUGGUGCCGCAACCCUGCCGGGUAAGGGUGAAAG